AGGAGGGAGAGGAGGAGGGGGGGGAAGGAGGAGGAGGAGAAGGAGGAGGAGGAGAAGGAAGAGGCUGAUGGCAGUGUCACUGAAGGCCCUUGAAGGGCUUGCUCCUCACUGAAUAGCUUCAAGUGACUGAGGGAGCGACAGGGAAGUAUCCCCAGGGAAAGUAGACCUAUACGUGCUGGGACGGUGUCCCCCAAACUUCAGGGAGAGAUCACUUAGGAUCCAGCUGGCUCUGGCUGCAGGGGCUGACCUAUUCACCCACAGUCACUACCCAGGAAGGAACGAUGUCAGAAUGACUGACAGAAGGCCCUGGAAGGUGGCUUAAUACAGGAUGUGAAUAACAGAGGGAGGAAGAAGUUAGAGGUGGGGGAGGGGCACCAGUGCGGCCAGAAGGAGUGCCUGAGUCUCCUGUGCUGAAGAAAGAAUAUAAGGAAGGAAUGAAGAGAGAGGGAGGGAGAGGAAGGGAAAGAAACCUCACCUGGGCCUCUCUCAAAUGUUACAGUGACAGGGGCCUCUUAUAGUAUGCCCGGUGGGCACAGCUUCACUAUGUGCCCAUAGGGAGCCAGGAGCAGGUGGAAGAAGGCUUCAAGGAGCUCCCUUCACUAAGCACAGGAGCGAGAGAUCUCAUUCCAAGGGAAAGAACGCUUCUGAGAUUAACAGCGCAAGACGCUUGUGCGAACGUCCCGAGGCGACAGAACAAAAACUUCAUGAACUGAGGGCUCCAACCAGGUUCACCGACCCACGGAUCCUGAGGCUGGACAUCUGAGGUCAAGCUGUCUCAGGGCUGGGUCCUCUGAGGCAGCUCCUCUUCGCCCGCAGAUGUGUCCUCAAUGGGUCCUCCCUCUGUGUGUCCUGAGGACACAGUCCUGCUGGCUCAGGCCCACCCUAAGGGCUUUGUCUCCCCGCAAGCACCUCUGUGAAGACUCCAUCUCCAGAUGAGAUUGCCUGCUGUGGUCCUGUGUGGUCUCGAACAGAUGGACUUGUGUGGACUUACAUGUGACCGCCGACAGAAAUUUCCCCCUCUUGGGGCUCCGUGACCGGGAUGUAUUUGGCUAAGGGCAAGAAUUCGAAUGUCCACUGAA